ACGCUGCAGUGCUGGUGGCCGGGUGGCUGACCAUGGAGUCCUGGGCUUCUUUGUGGAGGGGUGAGAACAGAACUGGCUGUGCUGCCACCGGGGCGCGGCACCUGGAAAGUGCUUUUAAGUUCCUGUCUCUGGGAGUCGUGAAUCUCUCCGGACUGCAGCCUGAGGUCCUGGCGCUUAAGCUCCACGAGCGCCGCCGCAGCGUGUUUGGCUUGAGGUUUCUAAACCUAAAAAGAUCCCUGACUGGAGUAGCCCUUGGGUUGUGCUGCUGCCCCUCCUCCUCACAGGCAGCUGCACGUGGGCUGCUCGGACACAAACUGCAGCUUAGGUACACGUUCCUUGGAUUCUCCUGUAGCCUUUUGGAAAGGGAAGGAGCACUUACUAAAUUCACUGGGAAGUGACAGAGAGCCUUUCCUUGGCCAGGUUGGACAGGUGCUUCUGCCCUCUUCUCAACUAGUUCUCAACCUUGGCCUCUAAAGACUUAGGCACUAAGACGGUUUUGAACAUCAAGUUGGCAUCGCUAGGAUGACUCCAGCUCCACUUAGAAUGCCCUGCCUGACAAAGCUCAAGGUGCCAAGAGAAUUUAGCAUUUGUUCAGCCAACACCAGAAGAGAGUCUCUGCUCCUCAAUGUCUCUAGGAGAGGAGGAGCCUAACUUCCAUAAACUCUGCUUAGUGUCCCCAGGUGGAGUGGGGAACACAGACCUGGUUCCUGUCUUCAAGCAACUUAGAAUCUAAUCUGCAGACAAAACACGGAUUCAUCCAAAAGCAACCCCCGACGAUGUUGUGGAGGCCGGUGGGAGUGAGAAGACCAAGGAGGAGGCCCUGGCUGGGGAAACUGAGGAGGAGAUGGGGCUGGGGACUGUGAAGGCGGAGGAGGAGGAGGAAAAGGAGGAAGCUGCAGCCAUAGACAAGGCGGAGGAGGAGGCGGGCCCGGCCCAUGAAAAUGACAAGGAGGAGUCGCCAGCCAGCGACCGGGCUGAGCAGGAAGACAAGCCUGCCCCCAAGGUGGACGGGACGGACGAUGAAAGCUUGUGGAGCAUUGUGAGUCUGUGUGGCAGCAACCACGAAGAAAGUGAUACAGACUUGGUGGCGGAGAGCACCGACUGCCGCCAGGAUGAGGAGGCUGCAGGUAGGGAAGAGCACACAGCUGGGAUCCAGGGGGAGAGGGUUCCUGGGAGCAGCUGGGUUCCACCUGCUGCGGGAGAGGGAGGAAGGGGGGGGAUAGGACUUGGCAGGUGGGUGGGUGGGUGGCCUAAUGAGUGGAACCCUGAUGUGGUGUUUUCCCCUCCGAAAUUGAUAACACGAAGAAGACUUGUGUCCCUGGUCUUUGUCGUGCUGUGUUUGGAUUCCUGUCUCCUUCCUUUGAGAGGGAGAAUCGAUUUUCCCUCCCAAAGCUGCUCCUUCCAGCUCUUGUCUCUGGCCAUUGUGCCAGCUUGCUUUGUGGGUCGCACCCUGAGGGUCCUGUGCCCAAGAGCUGUUGACUUAGUUUCCUUUGUUGCCCUUGAGGGACCUGAUGUGGUGGGACGCAACCCUCUCCUAGGGCCUUGACCCUGGAGACCAAGUUCGUCUGGUGAGUGUGAGGUGGUGGGUGAGAAGGCGCUGUCUCCCUCUGGAUGUUCAGGAUUUCUGGCCUCCCUGUCCUGUUGUGUCCUCACGGUGUGUCCUUGGGGAAUGGGCGUUCCCAACGUCGAAUGCGCAGAACAGGGAACCGAGGCACAGAGACAUCUAUGUCCCCUUCCCCGGCACGUGUUUCUUCUGCAGGGGAUGUGAGGAGUUCCCUAGUGUCCUGGAGGUUAAGGGUCCAGUCUUUGAUCCCUCCUGUGGUGCAGAUUCAAGCCCUGGACUGGGAACUUCUGCAUGCCCUGGGAGUGGCGAAAAGCAAUCAAUGACCAUUGUGCAUGGUCAUUAUCCAGGUUGUCUCAGCUGCCAAGAGGCAUUUUCACACAAAACCAGUGUGGGGAUGUAACGGUUUGAAGUGCACGCCAAAGAGCAAGAUCUUUCUAAGUAAAACUUGGAUGCUGAAGGCUCUGUUGGGCAGCUGGGGAUUAUGGGCAUUGAGGGCUUGGCCUGGGAGUCAACUGUUAGUCAUUUCCCUGUGGUCUUCUGCAAUCAGUAUAUCACUCGUUCUCUCUGUUGUCAUGUAUUUUCCAGAAUCUUGCUUUGGGAGGAAAGGAUCUUGCUGCAGGAGUCUGAGGAUAUGUUUGUCCUCUGCGAGCUUGGCUAGAAUAAUUCCCCGGUGGCCACACAACAGGGUGCACCUUGCCACUGAGCCAGACAAAGAUACUGUGGAACCUGACUCAGUACAUUCAGGCAUGAACAAUGAUUCUAGUUCAUUCAAUGUUCCAAAUUUCAGAACAAACUCUACCCAUGCUGCUGCAUGAUGCAAAUUCAAAUGAGUUAACUCGGAGUUCCCAUCAAGGCGCAGUGGUUAACGAAUCCGACUAGGAACCAUGAGGUUGCGAGUUCAAUCUCUGGCCUUGCUCGGUGGGUUAAGGAUCCGGGGUUGCCGUGAGCUGUGGUGUAAGUCGCAGAUGCGGUUCGGAUCCUGAGUUGCAGCGGCCGUGGCGUAGGCCAGCAGCUACAACUCUGAUUAGACCCCUAUCCUGGGAACCUCCAUAUGCCAGGGGAAGCGGGCCUAGAAAAGGCAAAAUGACCAAAAACCAACUAACCAAACAAAAACCAAAUUGAAUAACUCGGUAAUUUCACAACCAUGGAAAUAAGGAUUCAUUUAAACUCAACAUUUGGUUCCUGGUUAAUAGCAAAGAUGACCUCACUCAUGUUCUUUGCUGCUAUUUGACGUUUCUAGUUGUACUAGAUCCCUCCAUGGGACCACAUUUCCUAAUUUGAAAACAAUACUAGACGUGAUUUAGAACAAGAUCAUAAUAUUAACAAGACAUGGUGAGCAGAUAUUAGGGAAAGCUCCCCUAACCCAU
rnacentral:lncRNA from 9 species